GUGGGGAAUUUUGGACAAUGGGGGCAACCCUGAUCCAGCCAUUCCGCGUGAGUGAAGAAGGCCUUCGGGUUGUAAAGCUCUUUUGUCGGGGACGAAACGGUUUUGGCUAAUAUCCAAGACUACUGACGGUACCCGAAGAAUAAGCACCGGCUAACUACGUGCCAGCAGCCGCGGUAAUACGUAGGGUGCGAGCGUUAAUCGGAAUUACUGGGCGUAAAGCGUGCGCAGGCGGUUGUGUAAGCCAGAUGUGAAAUCCCCGGGCUUAACCUGGGAAUGGCAUUUGGGACUGCACGGCUGGAGUAUGGCAGAGGGGACUGGAAUUCCUGGUGUAGCAGUGAAAUGCGUAGAUAUCAGGAGGAAUACCGAUGGCGAAGGCAGGUCCCUGGGCCAAUACUGACGCUCAUGCACGAAAGCGUGGGGAGCAAACAGGAUUAGAAACCCUAGUAGUCC
rnacentral:rRNA from 1 species